UUUAUUGAGAGUUUGAUCCUGGCUCAGGAUUAACGCUGGCGGCAUGCCUAAUACAUGCAAGUCGAACGGAUGUACUUGUACAUCAGUGGCGAACGGGUGAGUAAUAUAUAGGUAACUUACCCCUAAGUCUGGUAUAACUACUGGAAACGGUUCGUAAUACCGGGUAGGAUAUUUACACACAUGUGUUUAUAUUUAAAGGUGCCUUCAAGCAUCGCUUAGGGAGAGGCCUGUAUCGCAUUAGCUAGUUGGUGAGGUAACGGCUCACCAAGGCGACGAUGCGUAACUGUGCUGAGAGGCAAAACAGUCACAUUGGAACUUAGACACGGUCCAAACUCCUACGGGAGGCAGCAGUAGGGAAUUUUCGGCAAUGGGGGCAACCCUGACCGAGCAAUGCCGCGUGAAUGAAGAAGAUCUUCGGAUUGUAAAAUUCUGUUAUUGGGGAAGAAAAAUAUGCAUAGGAAAUGAUGUAUAUCUGACGGUACCUGAUGAGGAAGCCCCGGCUAACUAUGUGCCAGCAGCCGCGGUAAUACAUA
rnacentral:ncRNA from 1 species